GUAAUUCCGGUGAAGAUGCCGGAUACCUGCGACAGGACGGAAAGACCCCAUGGAGCUUUACUGUAGCUUGACAUUGGGUCUUGGUACUACAUGUACAGGAUAGGUGGGAGGCUUUGAAACCAGGACGACAGUUUUGGCGGAGCCAUCCUUGGGAUACCACCCUUGUAGUACUGGGACUCUAACCAUAGGCCAUGAAUCUGGUCUUGGGACACUGUCAGGUGGGCAGUUUGACUGGGGCGGUCGCCUCCCAACAGGUAACGGAGGCGCUCAAAGGUUCUCUCAGUACGGUCGG
rnacentral:rRNA from 1 species